rnacentral:lncRNA from 1 species
UCCUGCCUUACAAUCACCCAAUAUACAAUAUUAAUGUGGCUCCUCCAUCCCUUGACACACUGCAACACCAUUCUAUGACAAAAAUGAGAAAAUAGCUAUAAGGGACACUACCCCAAAACAACAAAUUCCUGACAGCCCGCACGCAACCGUCAUGAAUGCUUGAUGCCGUCAGGAAUUUCUCCGUUUGGGGUAGUGGGAUGGCCCUUUUACCCUUAUAUAUUCUUCAGAGGAUCACACGUGCAGU